UACAGAGGUCUCAAGCGUUGUUCGGAUUCAUUGGGCGUAAAGGGUGCGUAGGCGGCGCGGUAAGUCGGGUGUGAAAUCUCGGGGCUUAACUCCGAAACUGCAUUCGAUACUGGCGUGCUUGAGGACUGGAGAGGAGACUGGAAUUCAUGGUGUAGCAGUGAAAUGCGUAGAGAUCAUGAGGAAGACCAGUGGCGAAGGCGGCUCACUGGCCCGAUACUGACGCUGAGGCACGAAAGCGUGGGGAGCAAACAGG
rnacentral:rRNA from 1 species